UACGUAGGGUGCAAGCGUUAAUCGGAAUUACUGGGCGUAAAGCGUGCGCAGGCGGUUGUGCAAGACAGGUGUGAAAUCCCCGGGCUUAACCUGGGAAUUGCGUUGGAGACUGCAAGGCUUGAAUCUGGCAGAGGGGGGUAGAAUUCCACGUGUAGCAGUGAAAUGCGUAGAUAUGUGGAGGAAUACCGAUGGCGAAGGCAGCCCCCUGGGAUAACACUGACGCUCAUGCACGAAAGCGUGGGGAGCAAACAGG
rnacentral:misc_RNA from 1 species